GAUGAAGAACGUAGCGAAAUGCGAUAAGUAGUGUGAAUUGCAGAAUUCAGUGAAUCAUCGAAUCUUUGAACGCACAUUGCGCCCCUUGGUAUUCCAUGGGGCAUGCCUGUUCGAGCGUCAUUUGUACCUUCAAGCUUUGCUUGGUGUUGGGUGUUUGUCCUGAGGGACUCGCCUUAAAGUAAUUGGCAGCCAGUGUUUGGUUUUGAAGCGCAGCACAAGUCGCGAUUCAAAGCUAUACGCCCGCUUCCCCAAGCCUUUUUCACUUUUGACCUCGGAUCAGGUAGGGAUACCCGCUGAACUUAAGCAUAUCAAUAAGCGGAGGA
rnacentral:misc_RNA from 1 species